UGCAAGUCGAACGCAGUAGCAAUACUGGGGUGGCAAACGGGUGAGUAUAAAGUGGGCAAUCUGCCUUUUGGUUUGGAAUAACACGGGGAAACUUGUGCUAAUACCAAAUAAGCCCUUACGGGGAAAGUUUUAACGCCGAAAGAUGAGCCUGCACUUGAUUAGCUAGUUGGUAAGGUAAAGGCUUACCAAGGCAACGAUCAAUAGCUGUUCUUAGAGGAAGACCAGCCACAUUGGGACUGAGACACGGCCCAGACUCCUACGGGAGGCAGCAGUGGGGAAUCUUGCACAAUGGGGGAAACCCUGAUGCAGCGAUGCCGCGUGAGUGAAGAAGGCCCUUGGGUUGUAAAACUCUUUCGUCGGGGAAGAAAAUGACUGUACCCGAAUAAGAAGGUCCGGCUAACUUCGUGCCAGCAGCCGCGGUAAUACGAAGGGACCUAGCGUAGUUCGGAAUUACUGGGCUUAAAGAGCUCGUAGGUGGUUAAAAAAGUUGAUGGUGAAAUCCCAAGGCUCAACCUUGGAACUGCCAUCAAAACUUUUUAGCUAGAGUGUGAUAGAGGUAAGUGGAAUUUCUAGUGUAGAGGUGAAAUUCGUAGAUAUUAGAAAGAACACCAAAUGCGAAGGCAACUUACUGGGUCACUACUGACACUGAGGAGCGAAAGCAUGGGUAGCGAAGAGGAUUAGAUACCCUCGUAGUCCAUGCCGUAAACGAUGUGUGCUAGACGUUGGAAAUAUAUUUUUCAGUGUCGCAGCGAAAGCAUUAAGCACACCGCCUGGGGGAGUACGACCCGCAAGGUUAAAACUCAAAUGAAUUGACGGGGA
rnacentral:rRNA from 1 species